rnacentral:sRNA from 1 species
AUUUAGUAAAUAAAUCAACCUGUAUAAACCAUAAUUAUUUUCUUAAUAGACGGGAAAACGGCCAAGUGUUUUGUUUUAAAGUUUUUUUAGUGUACUAUACAACAUAUAACUCGAUGUUUCUCCGGAGUCUGAAUGGCUGAAUGGUAGCGUUCUCGAUUACAGACACGACGAUCCGGGAUCGAUCACCACUCGGCGCGAAUUUUUUUUCUUUAAAUAAUGGCUAGAAAUAUAUUGAGUGCACCUUUUUUCAACGGCACUUCUAUAACCCCCCCCCCCCC